rnacentral:rRNA from 1 species
UACGUAGGGAGCAAGCGUUGUCCGGAAUCAUUGGGCGUAAAGCGCGCGUAGGUGGCUUCGUAAGUCCGUUGUGAAAGUCAAAGGCUCAACCUUUGAAAGCCGAUGGAUACUGUGGAGCUAGAGUACGGAAGAGGCGAGUGGAAUUCCUGGUGUAGCGGUGGAAUGCGCAGAUAUCAGGAGGAACACCAAUAGCGAAGGCAGCUCGCUGGGACGUUACUGACACUGAGGCGCGAAAGCGUGGGGAGCGAACAGG